CUAUUCUAGCCCUAGUCCUUCACGGCUACUCAAAUUUUAAUUUCAAAUUGAAGGUUUUCUUCUCAAAGGAAGUGGGGGAAAGAGCUGCAUUUCUAUUUAUGAAGAUGUAGCAGUUACAACUGCAAGGGUGCUUAUGACAAUGAGAGGUUGACAGAAGAAUAGCAUCAGAAAUACAAUGAGGCUUGUUGCUUAGUGCUUGGUCUUUCCUACAAAUACUGGUGACAGCAUCAUCAAGUUGAUUUCUUGCAUCUUACAGCAGAAGAAUGUUUUCAUCUUACAGUCUGUGUUUCUUAAAAACAGAGUGUAUUAUGUAACUCAUUAUGUGAAGCAACAUUGGUUUCAUCCAA